rnacentral:lncRNA from 1 species
CUCCACCUCCCAGGUUCAAAUGAUUCUCCUGCCUUAGCCUCCCAAGUAGCUGGGAUUACAGGCGUGUACCACCAUGCCCAGCUAAUUUUUUUUUGUAUUUUCAGUAGAGAUGGUGUUUCACCAUGCUGGUCAGGCUGCUGUCGAACUCCUGACCUCCAGUGAUCUGCCUACCUCGGCCUCCCAAAGGGCUGAGAUUACAGGCAUGAGUCACCAUGCCCAGCCUGUUUUUUUGUUUGUUUUUGACAGAGUCACACUCUGUUGCCCAGGCUGGAGUACAGUGGCACAAUCUCUGCCCACUGCAACCUCUGCCUCCCGGGCUCAAGUGAUUCUCCUGCCUCAGCCUCCCGAGUAGCUGGGAUUACAGGUACCCACCACCAUGGCCAUCUAAUUUUUGAAUUUUUAGUAGAGAUGGGGUUUCACCAUGUUGGCCAGGCUGGUUUCAAACUCCUGACCUCAAAUGAUCCGCCCUCCUCAGCCUCCCAAAGUGCUGAGAUUACAGGCGUGAGCCACCACACCUGGCCGCAACUGUGACUUUUAAUUUGGGCUUCAAUUUUAACAGCUCACUGCAGCCUCAAACUCCUGGGCUCAAGAAAUCCUCCCUCCUCAACCUCCUGAGUAGCUGGGACUACAGGCAUAUGCUACUGUUCCACGUUCUGGAAAUAUUCUGAAGAGAAUUACAUGGCCGGCAGUGAGGAUGGUGUCAAAUCUCAUCAGUCAUCUACAACCACUUUCUCUGACCCUUUCUGCAUCAUUGAAUUUGACUCCCUUUCUUCCCAUACUCUCCUUAGAGGACCUAAGAGGAAAUGUGCAUGGGCAGACAAAACAGAAAACUAAAGGAGGGAAGAUAAGUGGGUUCUUGGCUUCCGGAAGGAUUCUGACCUACUUCACUUGCCUUCAAAUUCUGUGUGAAUUUAUUUCAGAAGCUACAGGGAAGAGCUAAGAACUCCUGUUUUCCUUGGAGAAGGGAAGAAACAAAUGCCAGAUUAAAACUCAGAGGAAACUCUGGAAAUUAUAAGCGAGGCUGCUACUAUAUAAUGACCAAGUCGCCUUGUCCAAGAAGAAAGCAUUUGGAGAAGUGCUACACAUGCUCAACUGAACUUCCUGUCAAAUUGUUCUCACUCGUUUGGGCACAAGUCUGCUUAAGCCAUCUCUCAUUAACAUUUACUCUUGCCCGAAGCCCUCUACGCCCCCAACCCCUGCUAAUCUUCCACAAGCAAGCUGAUCACACUGGGAUCUCCUUUUCCCAGACACGUUUGAUUCUCACUUUCUCCUGAACCUAGAAAUGUGCUUCCCACCAAAGCAUGCCAGGCACUAACUCGUCCCUACUGAAAGGGGCUGUUAAAAGCUCAUCUUCUUUCCAGAUGGUAGUGAGGUGUGAGGUGAUCCUUUCUCUUUCUUUUUUUUUUUUUUUUACUUUUAGCUACCCCUCAAUUCUGGUGUUCAGUAACAAUGUAUUCCACUUAAAAGAGAGAAAUCAUAUUAAUUAUUCUAAGAUAUAAACACUUAAUUUUAUUCAUGCUCUUGAAUUACUUUCCUUUCUACCGCAUGUUUGUGUAGCUGUUAUAUGAGUCCUUUCUACUGAUGUAGCUGUCAUUCCUUCAACUCAGUUCUUGCCAAACACUGAGCUAUGUCUGGAGAUACAAAGAUAACUACUCUUGUUGAAGAGAUGCCAGUUUAGUGGGGGAGACAGACAUGUAAACAGAUCUGUAUCUGAGAUAGAUGGCCUGGGUAGGAAAAGAAUAUAUAUAGCACAAAUAACUCAGUGGACCUGCAAAAACAGAGCUUGAGGCCAUGAUAUACCACAAAGACCCACCAAGGCACAAGCACUGUCAACAUGAAGGUAAGGCUUCCAUUUUUGCCUCUUUCAAUCUGGGUACAUCUAUUCUACAUACUCUGCCUUUCCUCCUGUUACAGGAAAAGAAGGAACCUCAAUUCUACCUAAAGUCAAUCUUCUCCUUGAGCUAGAGAUCCAGCCCCUCUCCCAUAAUGAGGUACACGGCCCCUACAAAGAUCCACUCUCCUGCAUUAUCAAAUCCUCCCUCCCUGUGGUAUCAUUCCAGUCCACACACACACAUACCUUAACAUCAUCCUCCCUUGACCCUAGGUCCCCCUCCAUCCUCUUCAUCAUUUCUCUGCUUCCCCUCCCAGUGAUACUUUAUCUUCUACAUGUAUUGCUACCCCUAUUCCCUCAGCCUCUAUUCCCUUCUCCCUUGACUCCACUGAAAUGGCUCUUAAAGGACGCCACUAAGCUCUAUCUUGCUACAACCAGGAGUCGAUUUUCUGUUACCUACUGCCCUCUCCCAUCUCCCCUCCUCAUACCGAAAGACUGACUUUUUAAGACUUCCAUGAAAAUGUUGUCCUUGUUUUCUUCCUGCCUCACUGGCAGCUCCUUCCCAGUCUCUUGUAUUCACUUUUCCUUGCCCACCUGCUGUCUGGUCUUCCCUAUAGUCCAUUCUCACACUAGAUCACACUAGAGUUAUCUUUCAAAAAUCUCAACUACCAUCACCUGGUUUAAACCCUUCUAUGGUUUCCCAUCAUCCUUAGAAUUCGACACUAUCAAGUCCCUGUAGGACAUGGCUCCUGUCUAUCUGUCUGCCCUCAUUGCUAAACAUACCUUCCUCCCAACACCCUACAGACUAUCUACCCACCAGAUUUCAGAAACACAUGGCCUUCUUUCUGUUCCUCAAAAACCCCAAGCUAGUUUCUACUUCACAGCCUUUACUCUUGCUGUUCCCUAGCCUGGAACACUUCUCCCUUAGAUUGCUGCAUAGCCAAGCCAACUUCUUGUAAUUCAAGUUUUGGCUCAACUCACUUCCUCAGAAAGGCCUUCCCUGACCGUUCUGCUCAAGUGCUCCUUCCCCAAACUCAACCACUGGCUAGCUUAUUCCCCCAUUCCAAUUUUGUCAAACUAUGACUAGUCAGUAUCACAUUUAUUUCUUUACAUCUCAUUUUUCUCUCUCUCCUACUACAAUGUAAACUGCGUUAAGCAACAACUUAAUCUCGUUUACUGCUAUAUGUCUACUUCCAGGCACAGUGUUUAGUAUAUUGUGGGUGCUCCGUAAACAUUUUACUCAAUGGAUAAAUGAAAUGACGAUGAAAUCCUUGUUUAGAAUCCUGUGUUCAGCUCUUUGCUCUUCAACUGUAGACAUGCACAGAAGCAUAAAGGUGAGACAUAAUAACUAGUGCACAGGGAAAUCAGACCUAUGAAACUAGAACUAGAAUUACUAAGGAAGUGUUAUAUUUUUAUUCUUCAGGGGUAAUCAUUAGUUGUUUUUUAAAUGUCUAAUGAGGAUUAAAUAAAAAGAAAUGGAUUAAAGGUUCAGCAGAUGGGCAAAAGUUCUAGAGUAGAUAAAAUGUGGGUUAGAUUUAUAAAAACACUUCCUGGGACUGACUACUAUUUGAGAUUAUAAUCAGUUCCUGAAGAAGAAUACUGGAUAUCUUUUUAAAACAAAAAGAGAUAACAGUAAUCCUUUAUCAACUGAGUGCUUCCUUUGUACCAAGACCUCUGCUAAGGCUGUUUUACAAGCCUGAUCUCCUUUGACAUUUGUAGCAACCCUAUGAGACAGGUACAGGGAUAGCUGGGAGAUGUCAUGGGUUCAGUUUAUGACCACACAAUAAAGCAAGCCACACAAAUCUUUUGGUUUCUCAGUGCAUAUAAAAAUUACGUUUACACUGUAUGGUAGCCUAUUAAGUGUGCAACAGCAUUAUGUCCAAAAAAAGUACAGAUUAUUAAUUAAAACAUACUUUAUUGCUAAAAAAUGUUAACAAUCAUCUGAGUCUCAAGUGAGUCAUAACCUUUUUGCUGGUGGAGGAUCACGCCUCAAUGUUGAUAGCUGCUGACUGAUCAGGGUGGUGGUUGCUGAAGGCUGGGGUGGCUGUGACAAUUUCUUAAAGUAAGACAAUGAUGAAGUCUGCUGCAUCUAUUGACUCUUCUUUCAUGAAAGAUUUAUCUGUAGCAUACGAUGCUGUUUGACAGCAUUUUUACCAAUAGUAGACCUUCUUUCAAAAUUGAGGUCAAUCCUCUCAAACCCUACUACUGCUUUAUCAACUAAGUUUGUGUGACAGCCUAAAUCUUUUGUUCUAGAAUCUACCAUUUCAACAAUAUUCACUGCAUCUUCACCAGGAGUAGAUUCUAUCUCAAGAAUUCUAUCUUCACUUUCUUUGCUCAUCCAUAAGAAGCAACUCCUCAACCAUUAAAGUUUGCAGCAAUCCAGUCAUAUCUUCAGACUACACUUACUGCUGUUAAUAUUUUGACCACCUCUCACGAAUCACAAAUAUUCUUAAUGGCCUCUAAAUGGUGAAUACUUUCCAGAAGGCUUUCAAUUUGCUUUGCCCAGAUCAGAGGAAUCAAAAGAAUUUGCCAUCAAAGGAAUCACUAUCUAUAGCUAUAAGCUAUAGCCUUACAAAAUGUAUUUCGUAAAUAAGACUGGAAAGUUAACAUGAUUCCUUGAUCCACGGGCUGCAGAAUGGAUGUUGUGUUAACAGGCAUGAAAACAACAUUCAUCUCCUUGUACAGCUCCAUCAUAGCUCGUGGGUGACCAGGUACAUGGUCAAUGAGCAGGAAUAUUUUGAGAGGAGCUGUUUUGUCUCAGCAGUAGGUGUCAGCUGUGGGCUUAAGAUAUUCAGGAAACCAUGCUGUAAACAGAUGUGCAGUCAUCCAGGCUUUGUUGUUCCAUCUACAGAGCACAGGCAGAGUAGAUUUAGCAUAACUCUUAGGGCCCUAGGAUUUUCAAAGUGAUAAAUGAGCACUGGCCUCACCCUAAAGUUACCAGCUACAUUAGCCCCUAACAAGAGAAUCAGAAAUGUCCUUUGAAGCUUUAAAGCCAGGCAGUGACUUCUCCUCUCCAGCUAUUAAAGUCCUGGGUGGCAUCUUCUUCCAAUAGGAGGCUAUUUCAUCUAUCUUGAAAAUCUGCUGCUUAGUGUAGCCACCUUCGUCAAUGAUCUUAGCUAGGUCUUCUGGGUAACUUGCUGCAGCUUCUACACAAGCAGCUGCUGCUUCUUCUUGCAUUUUUAUGUUAUGGAGAUGGCUUCUGUUCUUCAUCUUAUGAAUCAACCUCUGCUAGCUCCAAGAUGAAUCAACCUCUGCUAGCUCUAAGCUUUUGUUUUGCACCUUCCGCACCUCUCUCAGCCUUCACAGAAUUGAAGAGUUAGGGCCUUGCUCCGAAUCAGGCUUUGGCUUUAGGGAAUGUUGUGGCUGGUUUGGUCUUCUAUCCAUACCCACUCAAACUUUCUCCAUAUCAGCAAUGGCUGCUUUGCUUUCUUAUCAUUCCUGUGUUCACUGGAGUGCUUGGACUUUCCUUCAAGAACUUUUCCUUUGCAUUCACAACUUGGCAAACUGUCUUAAGAGGCUUAGCUUUCAGCCUAUCUCAGCUUUCAACAUGCCUUCUUCACUAAGCUUAAUCAUUUCUAGCUUUUGAUUUAAAGUGAGAGAGAUGUGGCUCUUCCUUUCACUUCAACACUUAAAGAGACUACUGUAGGGUUAUUAACUGGCCUAAUUUCAAUAUUGUAUCUCAGGGAAUAGGGAGAUUGGAGGACAGGGAGAGAUGGGGGAACAACCAGUCAGUGGAGCAGUCAGAAUACACACAUUUAUCUAUUAAAUUCUGUCUUCUAUGGGUGUGGUUUGUGAUGUUCCAAAACAAUUACAAUAGUAACAUCAAAAAUCAUCGAUUACAGAUCACUACAAUAGAUAUAAUAAUAAUGAAAAGUUUUGAAAUAUUGUGAGAAUUACCAAAAUGUGACAUAGGCACACAAGUAAGCACAUGCUGCUGGAAAAAUAGGGCCAAAACACUUGUUGAACACGGAGUUGCCAUAACCUUCAGUUGGUAAAAACAAAACAAAAUACCACAGUAUCUGCAAAGUGUAACAAAAAGGGGUAUGCUUGUAGCACUAUUCUCAUUUUAACUUGAAAUGGUCAGAUAGUUGGUAAAUGACCAAGCUGGGACUGAAUUCGGUCCAUUUAACUCUAAAAUCUGUGCUUAACACUUAUGUUUACAAGAGAGAGUUGAGAUGGGCCCUGCUGAGAGCAUGAGAGUUAACUACUUGAAUCUGUACCCAAAUCUAGGAUUCUAACAUAUUUUCAGGAACAGCACAAAGGACACAAUAUAAAGAACAAUUUAAAAUAGUCCUGUGUAAGGUAGAUUCCAUCUUUGAGCUUUUGGUUAUAAAGACAUUUGAAGAACUAGACAAAAUUAUGUGCUUGUGGUUAUCCAUUAUAUAAAUUAUCUCCUGUCAUUCUGAAGGAUUAUUUUAUUUAUAAUCUGAAGACCUACCUUAGGAGGGGGUGGGCUGGGUGUGGUAGCUCAUGCCUGUAAUCCCAGCACUUUGGGAGACCGAGGAGGGCAGAUCACUUGAAUUCAGGAGUUCAAGACAAGCUUGAGCAAUGUGGGGAAACCCCAGCUCUACAAAAAAUACAAAAAUUAGCUGGGCAUGGUGGCACAUGCCUGUAAUCCCAGCGACUCUGAAGGCUGAGGUGGGAGGAUCACCUGAGUCCAGGGAGGUCGAGGCUGCAGUGAGCUGAGAUCACGCCACUGCAUUCCAGCCUGGGUGACAGAGCGAGAGAGACAGAGAGAGAGUCAGCGAGAGAGAGAGAGAGAGAGAGAGAGAGAGAGAAGGAAGGAAAGAAAGAGGAAAGGAAAGGAAAGGAGGAAAAGAGAAGAAAAGAGAAGAAAGGAAAAGAAAAGAAAAGAAAAAAGAAAGGUGGAGGGGAAUCGAGUUUGCAAGUAUCACCAGGUAUGACUAAAACAAUUUCUUGCUCCUUUAAGGUUUUGAACAGAGAUCAGCAAACUAUGGCCUGCGAGCCAAAAAUAAAUUUUAUAUUUUUAAAGUAUUGUUUAGAAAAAGAAUAAUUUGUAACAGAGACUUUAUGUUGCCCACAAGGCCUGAAAUUUUUAUUAUCUGGUCCUUUACCAAAAACAUUUGUUGACCUCUGCUCUAGAUCUUAAAAAUGGGUGCACAAAGUAUGAAAUAGGUGUAAUAGAGAAUAAAGUCCCUAGUUAGAAAAAGCAAUUCCCUAAAGGUUGUUUUUUUUGAGACAAGGGAUCAAGCCAUCCUCCCACUUCGGCCUCCCAAGUAGCUGGGACUACAGGUGCAUGCCAUCACCUCUGGCUAAUUUUUAAAUUUUUUGUAGAGACAGUGUCUUGCUGUGUUGCUGGUCUUAACCUCCUGGCUUCAAGCUAUCCUCCCACUUCGGCCCCCCAAAAGUGUAAGCCACCAUGCCCAGCCCCUACAGGUUUAAGUGUCCAAGGGAUUUUUUUUUUAAUAUCAACAACAAAGAUUCCCAGAGUCAGAUUUUCAAAUGGAUCUAGCCUCCCAACUUAGCAUCAAUGAGAUGAUAUUAGGGGACAAAAAAAGAAAAAGAAGAUGCUGAGAAGCUUGGGGAAGAAUCAGAAUUAUCCAGGUUUAGAGCUGCAAGGAACCGUAUAGAAACUAUGGACCAACGUUCUCUAGCUCCGUAAAUGAAGAAACACCCAGGGACGAGGCAGUGACUUCAGGCUGCGAUGUGUCGGCAUAGCACAGUCCUGUCUCCGGGCUCCUAGGCCACGUCUAUUCUCACUGUGCCAUGAGGCCUUUACCUUAUUACAGAGACAUGCUCUGCAAACCAAGGUGUGGUGGACAGCUUUUUAAAACGUCAGACGAAAACCAGCAGCUCUGCAAAGAAUGUGUGAUCUGAAGGUGAAGUCUCAACCCAUUUUGUUAAGAAAAAUUAAUGUUUCUUUUUUUAUAAUGCUUUUUUGAAUUUCAAAAGUGGUACACAUUCAUUAUAGAAUUUUCAUUAAGAAAAUUAUUUUUCAAUAAGGAAAUUCAAAAAAAGAGAAUAAUUAUUCAUAAUCUCUCCAUCCAAUAAUAAAAUAUUUUCAACAUUUUAUUAUUUCCUUGCAACUUUUUUUUUUUUUUUUGAGACAGAAUCUCACUCUGUCAUCAUCCAGGCUGGAGUACAGUGGCAUGAUCAGGGCUCACUGUAGCCUCGACCUCCCAGGCUCACGGGAUCCUCCUGCUUCAGCUUCCCAAGUAGCUGGGACUACAGGCAUGCUUCACUAUGCUUGGUUAAUUUUUGUAUGUUUUGUAGAGAUAGGGUUUCACCAUGUUGUCCAGGCUGGUCUUGAAUUCCUGGGCUCAAGUGAUCCACCUGCCUUGGCUUCCUGAAGUGAUGGGAUUAUAGGCGUGAACAACUGUGCCUGGCCCUUACAGCUUUUUUAAAAAUGCAGAUACACAUAUGCCAUUUGAAAAAUUAGAAUAUUCCCAGAAGUUUGAGACCAGCCUGGGAAACAUAGCAAGACCCCAUCUCUACAAAAAAAUUUAAAAAUUAGUUGAGCAUGGUGGCACAUGCCUGUAGCCCCAGCUACUAGGGAAGCUCAGGUGGGAGGAUCACUUGAGCCCAGGAGUUCAAAGUUGCAAUAAGCUAUGAUUGUGCCACUGCACUCCAGCCUGGGUGACAAGAGUGAGAAGACCCUGUCUCAAAAAUAAAUAAAUAAGUAAAUAAUUACAGUAUUUUUUUUCACUUAAUGUCAGCAUUUUUGUGUCACGUAAAUUUUCCUAAAACCUUUUAACAUUAUACAAUUCCAUUGUGUGUAUGUAUAAUAAUUUCUGUAACUUCUAGGACGGACCAGCUUAUAGAAAGAAUGUUUUACCUCGCCCUCACCAACAGUGAUUAUGAGCAUUAUUCAAAAUAUUUUUCCAUUUGAUAAGCAUGAAAUGGUUUCUCUUUGUUUCACACUGACGUUGAUCCUUUCUUCACAUGGCAUUUAUUUAUAUGCCAUCUUUUGUGAAUUGUCUAUUCCCAAUGUCACACGUCCUAUUCCCAUUUUUCUUCUGAGGUAUUCAUCUUCUUUUUGAUGAUAAGAGCCAAACAGAAAAGAUUUUAACCUUUUCUUCUAUCACAAAUAUUGUAUGUUUCCCACUUUUCCAUUUGCCUUUUAAUUUUGUCUUUUUAAUUUGUUGUUGUUUUAAUCUUGAAAUGUAGCAUUUCCAGCUAGUCAAAUCCUCUGCAUUUGUCCUUUGUAAUGCCAUAUAAGGGAUGAUCUACCGAAGCUGGCUAAUGACCUAUUAGUUUCUAAAAAGCAGCCAGUGUAAGUCCCCCAAAUCUGCACAGCCUGCAGAGGUUCCACUCAGUGUUGGCCAGAUGGAAGGAAUGUGGAGUAGAAACGCUACCAGAUGGACUAUGAGUCAGGAGGCCCAGAUGCUUGUCCUGGGUUUGCUGCUUGCUUGCUGCAAGUCCUUAGGCAAAUCUCCCAUUCUCUCUGGGUACCAUAACCCUCUGUCAACAAAAUGAAAGGUAUGGACACUACACUCUCAAAAGACACAUCCAUUUCUUUUUUCUUUUUUUUGAGACAGAGUUUUGCUCUGUUGCCCAGGCUGGAGUGCAGUGGCGCAAUCUCGGCUCACUGCAACCUCCGCCUCCCAGGUUCAAGAGAUUCUCCUGCCUCAGUCUCCCGAGUAGCUGGGAUUACAGGUGUGCACCACCAGGCCUGGCUAAUUUUUGUAUUUUUAGUAGAGACCAGGUUUCCCACGUUGGCCAGGCUGAUCUCGAACUCCUGACCUCAGGUGAUCCACCCGCCUCAGCCUCCCAAAGUGCUGGGAUUACAGGUGUGAGUCACUGUGCCCGGCCGACACAUCCAGUUCUAAUGCUCAUUCUUAUUUGACAUGUGAAAGAAGGGAAGUCAGUGCUAGAUGUUCCAGGCUAGUCAGAAUCCACAACCCCAGAGAGACCUGUCAGUGAGAAGAGGGAAGAAGGUGAGAGAUGGUAAAAACGAAUGUCUGACAGGAGAAAACUUGCAGCCCUUUUGACAUGUGGCUUAUAGAAUUUAUUUCAAGUAAAUCAGCAUGAUCUGGAAAGUCAAAGGCAGCAGAGAACCAAAACUGAAAAAGGGCUUACUUCUAGUGCAUAGAUUUUUCCCAGAAAAGGCACCAGGUAAUCUGACUGUGACUUCCUCUAAGCCAGUUGGGGGAUUAUAAAUGUUGGAUAUGGGCAUAAAAGCCAGAAUAAAAAGAUCCAAAAGGGAUGUGGAUGACAAAAGUGGUACAAGUUUUGAUGUAAAAGGGAAAAGCUGUUCAUGAGGGUCAUCAUGUUGAGAGAGAUCUCUUUGAGGGCUGGUAUAGAUCAGAUCAUAAAAACAAAAGGGACAAAAGACAACGAAACUCAAGCAUAGGAGAAGAAAUGGUCUCAAGACAGUUUGGCAGGUUUGUAGUACAGAUGAAAGUGAUGUCCUCUGUCCCGUGGAAAUACCCGCAAACACAAUAUCGUGAAAUAAGAAUAUGUGCUUUGAAGUAUUAAGGUGCUGGCAAGAAAGGCAAGGUGUUAGUUACAUAAUAGUGGCAUUGUGUUGUGGGUGCCACCAACAAAGCCCUGAGUCCAGGUGACACAGGGUCAUGAGAAAUCACAUUAAUGAGCUAAAGUCCUUACCUACCAUUGCUAACUAACUAGUAUUUUAUUUAUGUGUAUUUAACAAUUAUUUUUUCUUGCAUAAAUUAAGUAAUAACACCUGUUUUCUUCACUUUAUUGCUACUUUAGUAGUUAUUUAUCCUUUCCAUUUUAUUUUAGCACUGAUUAAAACAUAAAAUGUCUUUAGGAAAUGUUAUGUCCUAAUUUAUGGUUUAUUUUAAUCUUAGCAGUCAAACACUGAUGACAUUGCAUCUCUUUAAAAAAUUAGCCUAUUAUCACACACCAAUAAAUACAUUCUUUAAAAAAAAAAUCUCAUUCUCAAAUGAGAAGAAACCACAAAGCAAUGAGGCAAUGAAGGAAGAAAAACAAAUCCUGAGUCUUUCACCUGGCCCAACAGGGUGUAUUAAGAGUAAUUAUGGAGUGUAUUAAGAAUCAUUAAAGUAAUAUUUCCUUGGGUUUCUGUGAUGAAGGAUGGCUCAUCUGUUCACUUCCAAUACUUAAUUUUUUCAAGCUUGCUGUCUUUCAUGUAAAUAAAAAGGAAAGAGUAACUUUCCUUUUCCAAAAAACACAGAAGGGCAAAAACUACACUACAAAUAGCUUUUACCCUCAGGCUCAAAGUUCUCAAUAAAUUAAAUCUCCAUUAUUGUUUACUCUGUUGUGGAUACAACUGAAAAAAGAUUAACCGGGUCCCACUUUAGAGAUGAGAAAAUGGGCCCACAGAAACAGCCUAAAUCAAUCUAUAAUACACAAAGAAACAAAGGCCAGCCUUUCCAUCCAAAGGCCUCUCCUGGGAUCUCGGUUCACAGUCUCCAUUCAGGGUUCAACAGCACCCCUUCAGGACUGCACCCUAAGUUUUUAAAGGAGGGAGAUGUGCAGGAAGGAACACUGACCAGGAGCAGGUAACUGAAGCUCAGCCCUAGCUUUAGCCCAUGCUAUUUCUAUGAUCUUGGGAAAGUAAUUUUCAUCUUCCUAUGGCCCCAUUUCCUUCAAUAUAAAAUGGAGAUAAUAUUUACACCUACUGCCUCAGUGUUUAUAAAGUUCAAAUGGAGGAAAGGGCUCUUUUCAAAAUACAGGCCACCUGUGUUAUUUAUGAAUUUAAAAUAGAAGAAUAAAGCAACUAAAAUAAUGAUUUUUAAACUUACAUCAUCCUCUCAUUCAUGAAUUUCAUAAACUCAUCUCCUUAAAGUGCUACAUGGCAUACAUGUAAGAAUAAACAUAAUUUUUUAUUUCAAUUAUUUGUUUUAAUCAACUAAGAGAACUAUUUUGUGUGUAUGUAUAAUAUUGACAUUUUAUGGUAAGGAAAAUUAUAAUGUGGCACAAAUAGCAUAUCAAUUCUUUUCUUAAAGUGUUGAUAAACCAAAAAACUGUCAAUAUGCUAAUAAUAAAGUUGCAUUUUGCUCUAAAUUAAAUGUACACUUUCGAUUUAAGAUUUUAUUCACAAAAUAAACAGUACCACUGCAUAAAAAAAUUACAUGAUGAUAUAAAAUACUAUGUGAAGGAGUUGGCAAAUUAUGUUUAUAGCUGUUCUUUAAACCUAGACAAUUCUAAUCUAGAAUUCGAUCUAAAAAUAAGAUACUUCUGCAUUUUUAACCCUUAAAAAAUUGUCCAUUCAAUACUACUCAUUAAAGCAAAAAAGAAAAAAAUUUUUCAACUUACAUACAAAAAUUCCAUGAGUUUUAAAAUAAUAAGAAAGUGUGCUAUAACCUACCGAUUACUUUGAAUAAAGGAUAUUUAUCAACAAUUACACUGGGUAAAAACGUUCCUUUCUCUGAAACCCUGGAGGAGCAAUGUUUAAUGAGAAAGAAUUAUUUAUGCCUACAAACACAGAACUGUAAUAGGUAGUUUUAAUGUAACACAUCACAGCAGUAGAUGCAGGCGGCCAGAAACGUGUUACCUGGUUUUGACUUAUACCCAAUUUCCAAGACCAGACUAAGACUUUGUAAACAGCAGGGGCUUUUAGUUUUGUUUUUCCUUAUUAUUGAUAGUGGAUGGCAACAAUAUUUGUGCUGACGGGGUCUUUGGGAGGAAUACUGAGGUUCUCCCUUUUCCUGAGGAAAAUGAGGUCUCACUCAUCUCCUAUUUGCCAGGACUAGUGAUCUCAGCACAUGCUUUGUUCUUUUUUCUCUCUGUUUAAGUGCUGGUAGUAAUUUAGUGAUUUCAAUCAUUGCUACAUUCAUUUUGGAAUAAUAAAGUGAUGUUAGGAGAUUCCUGUCAUUGCGAAGACAGGUUUUAGGAGGAAAAGGAUCUAUAGUUAGUCAGUUUUGCUACCAAGAGUAGCCUUUGGUACACUGAAAUCAAAUUAACUACAAAAACAUCAGGGAUACGUGUGGGGAUGGAGCUAGCUGUGGGGAGAUGAGCACUGAACCCAAACCAGUCUGGGCCAGAGGAAAACUCUACAGUCUCAUCAUGCAACAAAACAGGGAAAUUGGUUUUAGCGUUUUUAACUUUAAUUAGUCACAUUAAUUAAUGCUAAAAACCAAUGUUAACAGUAUAUUAUUUUCAUCUAGUUAAAUAAAGGAUUACACACAUUUGAGUAAAUUACACAGCAUUAAACAUUUCGAUAACUUGAAAUGAAGCCAUUACUGUCAUUCAAACAAGUUUCCACAGCUAAAGGCUGAAUGUUAAGUAUGAACUGAUUUGGCAUUACAAGAAUAUAAAUCCUUUAUCUUUUUACUGAGAAGAAAAAAUGAAGAGAUUCGAUGACUUCUGACUUGAAUAAGUGGUUUGCAGUAGCACAGCGCCCUCCAGUGGCCAAAUUUCAAAAUGCAGUUUCAAAGGACAAAGUUCAGUAGCAAAUCUUUUCAUGUUGAAUGGUGUUAAGCUGGUAACAUUAGCUCCUUUUUCUUUUCUCUUUUAAUAUAAUUGUUUAUCUCAGCACAUAUUUUCAAUAUCAAACCAUUUUUCUAUUGCCAAAUUUCCCUCACCAAAUUAAAAUUCUUCUAUUCAAAUCUGAUUUGUUUUCCCUCAGAAAUAUUCUGAAAAGUAAAAAAGAAAUCAAAGCGAAACAAAACAAACCUAAUGUGGACACAGACAACUGCAAUGAGAGGGAAUUCUCUAUACGCCUCAGAUAAUGGCGAAUGCCAGCACUAGAGUAGUAGUAAUGAAUUCUUAAGUGUUAAAAUCCAAACUCCAGAGUAAGAUUAUACAAAUUAUGGAACUCUAUUUUGCCUGAUAUACAUCAUGAUGAGUACAUAUGGUGAGUUCAAAGUUGUAAGCAUAUCUUUUACUCAUUUUUUCUAUAUGUGAACAUUUCUGUUUUUAAAUAACAGUAUAAAAGAUUUCACUGUAUGCACAUUCUUUCACUAUUACAACUCCUAUUAAAAUGGAUCCAAAUAUUUUUCUGUGGAAGUAGGAAAAGAUAACCCUUUGGUUACCUUUGCAGAUUACCAGAAAAGCUCCCUUAGGCCAAUCUAAAAUACUCCUAUUCUUGAAAAGACAUUGAUUUCUCACAAUGAAAAGAGAUCAUAAUUCCACUUUUAAUAACUACUGCCAUAGAGUAAACACUUAUAAUAUUCUUGGUCUGCCAAAUAAAUACUGCAAGGCAUCUGGGGGCAUACAAGCAUUGCCCCGGAUCCUAUACCAAAUAGUUACUAGGUAGCAUGAGGGAGUUUGCUAUCAAAAGGAUAAUAAUAACUAGCUAUUUUUUCCCUUUUCUGCCUACCCAAAGAAUAGAAAAGUUUAAGCAUGUUUUAAAGAAUCAUACCUUUCACCGAAACCGACAAAGCAACUCUAUAUAAUGUCAAGAACAAUGGCUGUGGCCUUGCAUCUUGUUUCCACCGCUACAGAUCAAAACAGGCAAAUAACAUCUCUGUGUUUCGUUUCUUCAUCUAUGAAAUGAAGAUAAUUGUUCCCAUCUCAUGGGAAUGUGGUGAGGAUUCAUUGUAAUGAUGCAAAUGAAAUAACUAAGCCUGACUGCCUGAAACUCACACGGGAGAUCUUCAAAGAAUGUUAGUUCUCUUCUCCAUCUAUUCUUACCAACAAAAGAAUGCAGAAGACCUAUUUUCACCAGAAGGAGGACUGGAACCAGAGUUAGCAGGUAUGGAGUCACAUGGGUGAAUCAAUAAAACCCACUCAAAAUUUCAUCUAUGAAAAACCUGUCCUUCUUUAUUAUACAUUAGAAGACCCAAAGAUGGUUCUGGAAGCAAACACACUGAAUUCUGGAAAGGGGAGGAAAAGGAACAGAAUUGGCAUUUGUUAUGUGCUUCAUGUGCUACUGGUUGCACCCAGCUUUUCUAUACAUAAUCGUAUUACUUAAGGCACCACAGAACUCUAUACAGCAGUUAGAACUGUGAUGGAACCAGUGAGGCUGGCUUCCUCUUAUCCAAGUAUGACUGGAGGACAGGGCUCAAAUGACCGUGCAGGUGCAUCUGGGCGGGGGGGCGGGGGUAUAACAAUGAAGAGGAGGUGCAAUAACAGCCCCGUGGGGAUGAUGACAGACAGAAUAUGCUCAUGAAUAAGAAUGUCUUACUUAUCCCAUCUUAAUUACUUUCUUCUGUCUCUUUCUUCAUGUUUAAGUAUUAAGAGCAGUGAGGUGGUAAGAAAUGGUAUGGGAGUCAUAUCAGAAUCCUUUGGAGAGAAGAGAUGGGCACAUGUGUCAUCUAAAAAAGCAUUUUCAAAAUUAUAAUAAAAUACACAACAUUUGCAAAGCAGGCUUUCUGCCCGUUGUGACCGUGAAAACAAAGCAGCUGAAGAGGCCUGAUGUGAAAGUGACCUCCUCUGUGCUCUGUCACUGGCAAGAACAGGAAAAACACUUGGGGCAAGCAAGCCAGCCCCACUUUCACACAUGACUCACACGACUGAAGGAAAG